CCUACGGGAGGCAGCAGUGAGGAAUAUUGGACAAUGGGCGCAAGCCUGAUCCAGCCAUGCCGCGUGCAGGAUGACGGUCCUAUGGAUUGUAAACUGCUUUUAUACGAGAAGAAACACUACUUCGUGAAGUAGCUUGACGGUAUCGUAAGAAUAAGGAUCGGCUAACUCCGUGCCAGCAGCCGCGGUAAUACGGAGGAUCCAAGCGUUAUCCGGAAUCAUUGGGUUUAAAGGGUCCGUAGGCGGUUUAAUAAGUCAGUGGUGAAAGCCCAUCGCUCAACGGUGGAACGGCCAUUGAUACUGUUAGACUUGAAUUAUUAGGAAGUAACUAGAAUAUGUAGUGUAGCGGUGAAAUGCUUAGAGAUUACAUGGAAUACCAAUUGCGAAGGCAGGUUACUACUAAUGGAUUGACGCUGAUGGACGAAAGCGUGGGUAGCGAACAGGAUUAGAUACCCUGGUAGCCCACGCCGUAAACGAUGGAUACUAGCUGUUGGGAGCAAUCUCAGUGGCUAAGCGAAAGUGAUAAGUAUCCCACCUGGGGAGUACGUUCGCAAGAAUGAAACUCAAAGGAUUGACGG
rnacentral:rRNA from 1 species